GAUGAACGCUGGCGGCGUGCCUAAUACAUGCAAGUCGAGCGAACAGAUGAGGAGCUUGCUCCUCUGACGUUAGCGGCGGACGGGUGAGUAACACGUGGAUAACCUACCUAUAAGACUGGUAUAACUUCGGGAAACCGGAGCUAAUACCGUAUAAUAUAUUGAACCGCAUGGUUCAAUAGUGAAAGACGGUUUUGCUGUCACUUAUAGAUGGAUCCGCGCCGCAUUAGCUAGUUGGUAAGGUAACGGCUUACCAAGGCAACGAUGCGUAGCCGACCUGAUGGGGUGAUCGGCCACACUGGAACUGAGACACGGUCCAGACGACUACGGUAGGCAGCAGUAGGGAAUCUUCCGCAAUAGGCGAAAGCCUGACGGAGCAACGCCGAGUGAGUGAUGAAGAUCUUCGGAUCGUAAAACUCUGUUAUUAGGGAAGAACAAAUGUGUAAGUAACUAUGCACGUCUUGACGGUACCUAAUCAGAAAGCCACGGCUAACUACGUG
rnacentral:rRNA from 1 species